UGCUCUCGAGAACAUAAACAUGGAGAGACUUUAGAAUUCAGAAUGUUUCACGCUUCCCUCUGGAACCACAAAUGUGGUAAACACACUCCUCUACGUCAUGAAACUCUCUGUGGAACCGACACCCUCCAGCCUUCACUGAAACCUGCCUCUCUGCUGUGGGUGAGAUGAGAGUCCCUUGCAGCCAGCUCCAACAGAGGCUGCUCAUCCUGCCAGACUCAGAGCCAAAAGACUUCUCUGCAGUUGAGCAAGAUAGCCUUCCUGCAUGUGGACAUAAGGUAUUUCAUUUGGUGCUUGAGAGCCAGUGCAAGUGGACUCCAUGCCCCUGAGUGCGAUGUCCCACCCGAGAUGCCCACUAACAGUGUCCAGCUGAGGGCCGCCAACACACACAGUCACCCCGAGACAAACCAGUCUCAGUUGGGAGCACUCCUGAUAAACUCCUGUCUGUGGUUUGAAUAUCACAGAGAAUCACAACAGAAACAGGCUUUCUCAUUAAUGCAACAGACUUUAUGUUUCCUGUUUUAUUUUUCUACAUUCUUAUGAUCGUCAAAGAGACGAGUCCCCACCUUCCACCAGCU